AGUCACUGACAUUAGAUACCCGUGUAGUCCUAGCCGUAAACGAUACUCGCUAGGUGUCGGCCACGGUGCGACCGUUGUCGGUGCCGUAGGGAAGCCGUGAAGCGAGCCACCUGAGAAGUACGGCCGCAAGGCUGAAACUUAAAGGAAUUGGCGGGGAGCACCACAAGAGGUGGAGGCUGCGGUUCAAUUGGACUCAACGCCGGAAAACUCAUCGGGAGCGACAGCAGUAUGAUUGCCAGGUUGAUGACCUUGCUUGACAAGCUG
rnacentral:rRNA from 1 species